UGCUUACACCAAGGUCAAGCAAGGCUUUUCCAACUCUAAAUUGUCCUAUAGUCAUAAGUAGUGUAAAGCUACCUGGAUCAUCAAUUUUUUGUGGUAGAAUCUUCUGAAUAAGUGUACUAUAUCCAGCCUCAAGUUCCACAAUUUCCUCUUCUAAGAUUCACCUCUUAUUAGUUAAUAAAUUUUUCAUGAACUUUGUAUAGGUGGGCAUAUGCUUCAUUGCUUCAAUGAAUGACACAUUUAUUUGCAGCUUUUUUUUAUCAUGUCCAAGAACCUUCUGAAUUGUCUUUCUUUAUCCUUCCUUGUUGGCCCGUGAGAGUAUGGUAGGUGAGUGACAAGAGGGUCAUCGUUUCAAAUAACUUCUUCUUUUUCUUCUCUCCCUUUUUCUUUUCUUUCUUUUCUCAUGAUCUCUCUUUUUCUCACUUCUUUUUCACUCCCUACUUCUUCUUCUUGAAUAGGUACAAUCUUUAUGUUUUUUUAUGCACUUUUUUUUUCUCCCAAUUUUUCAGAAUAAUGCUCACACUUUUUCUAUUUUCUUCUCUCAAUUUUCCUCACCAUUCUUUUCUAUUCUUAAGUCAUCAUUUUUGGAUUAAUUUUAGUGUUGGUUGUGAGUUUUUCUUCUUGUUGUGCUAGUUAUCCAAUAUGCACUUCCAGGCUCCUAAGUGAUGCUUUUGUGUUCUUAUGAUUUGAUGUAGAAACCUAGAUGAAUUGUGUUAGUGCAUCAUCAAUUUUUUGACACCAUGCCCUAUUUUUGAGGUUACUAUCCAUGAUAAUUUACUGGUGUAGUUUAUCUGUCAAUUAAACCAUAAUCUCAUCCCCAAUUUUGUUGUUGAGUUUGGUUUUGAUUUGAUCUCCAAUUGUUAGAGUAGAUAUUUGGCCUUCUAUUGUUGUUCAUGAAGUGUAUUUCCUUUUCCCUUAUAGUUUCCACAAUAGAGUAGUGGUCAUUCUGGUGUUCACCUGCACAAAAAUCACAUUUUAAAAUCUAUUAC
rnacentral:lncRNA from 1 species